GACGAACGCUGGCGGCGUGCUUAACACAUGCAAGUCGAACGAUGAAGCCUAGCUUGCUAGGUGGAUUAGUGGUGAACGGGUGAGUAAUACGUGAGUAACCUACCUUUAACUCUGGGAUAAGCCCGGGAAACUGGGUCUAAUACCGGAUACGACCAAUCUCCGCAUGGGGUGUUGGUGGAAAGCGUUAUGUAGUGGUUAUAGAUGGGCUCACGGCCUAUCAGCUUGUUGGUGAGGUAACGGCUCACCAAGGCGACGACGGGUAGCCGGCCUGAGAGGGUGACCGGCCACACUGGGACUGAGACACGGCCCAGACUCCUACGGGAGGCAGCAGUGGGGAAUAUUGCACAAUGGGCGCAAGCCUGAUGCAGCGACGCCGCGUGAGGGAUGACGGCCUUCGGGUUGUAAACCUCUGUUAGCAGGGAAGAAGAGAGAUUGACGGUACCUGCAGAGAAAGCGCCGGCUAACUACGUG
rnacentral:rRNA from 1 species